AUGGAUCACCGCGGGCCGCUGUUGCCCGAUGGCCGCCGGCUGGCGGCCGCGCUCCUCCUCCUCCUGGCGGCCUGCCUCUCGUCUGCCCGGGCCGUCACCAGCGAGGAGGCCUCCUACAUCGCACAACGCCAGCUGCUCGCCAUGAGCGAGGCCGGGGUGGGCGAGGACGGCGACCUCCCCGCGGACCUGGAGUCGAGGCCUUGCCUGGAGUUCGACGGCAAGGCCGCCACCGCCAACAUGACCUUCCCGAACGAUCGCCUCCGCCGCGCCUACAUCGGGCUCCAGGCCUGGCGCAAGGCCUUCUACUCCGACCCCAAGAACUUCACCAGCGACUGGGUGGGCGCCGACGUGUGCUCCUACAACGGCGUGGUCUGCGCGCAGGCGCAGGACGACGCCAAGGCCACCGUGGUCGCCGGGAUCGACCUCAACGGCGCCGACAUCGCCGGCUACCUCCCGCCGGAGCUCGGCCUGCUCACCGACCUCGCCUUCUUCCACAUCAACACCAACCGCUUCUGCGGCAUCAUCCCCAAGAGCAUGUCGCGCCUCACCAUCCUCUGGGAGUUCGACGUCAGCAACAACCGCUUCGUCGGCCCCUUCCCCUACGUCUGCCUCGAGAUGCCCACGCUCAAGUACCUCGACAUCCGCUUCAACGAGUUCGAGGGCGAGCUGCCGCCCGCGCUCUUCGACAAGCCCUACGACGCCAUCUUCGUCAACAGCAACCGCUUCGUCGGCCCCAUCCCGGAGACCAUCGGCAACUCCACCGCCUCCGUCGUCGUCUUCGCAAACAACAAGCUCGUCGGAUGCAUCCCCAAGAGCAUCGGCCGCAUGGCCAAGACGCUCGACGAGAUCAUCUUCCUCAACAACACGCUCGAGGGCUGCAUGCCGCUCGAGAUCGGCAUGCUCACCAACACCACCGUCGUCGACGUCAGCGGCAACGGCCUCGUCGGCUCGCUGCCCAAGGAGAUCUCCGGCUGCAGCAAGCUCGAGCAGCUCGACGUCUCCAGGAACGUCCUCACCGGCGUCGUGCACGAGGCCAUCUGCGAGCUCCCCAUGCUCGUCAACUUCAGCUACGCAUCCAACUUCUUCGAGUCCGAGUCGUCGCCGUGCAUGCCCUCCGACAAAUCCGAGGUCAACCUCGACGACGCCAACAACUGCCUCGGCGCGCUCCGCCCCGCACAGAAGACCACGCUCCAGUGCGCGCCCGUGCUCGCGCGCCCCGUCGACUGCAACAAGCACGUGUGUGCCGGGCCGCACCCAACCACGACGCCUUCGCCGGACAGGAAGCAGGCAUCACCGCCGGCGCUGUCCCCGAUAAUUGGGCCAGCAAUGGAGAUCCCGACGCCGGCACCGGCACCGGCACCAGCACCCGAGCCGGCUGUUUUGGGCCCGAUUGUUGGGCCACUUCCACCCAAGGAUGAGUAUGCUGGUGCUCCGCCACCUCCCAGUUCUGGCUGGCUCCCGUUGACCCCUGAGCGCAAGAAGGCACCUCCGCCGGAAGAAUACACGCCUCCGGUGAAGGUGCUUCCGCCACCCGCACCCGAGAAGGUGCUUCCACCACCGACGCCCGUGAAGGUGCUUCCGCCACCCGCACCAGAGAAGAAGGUUCUUCCACCACCAGCGCCGGUUAAGGUGCUUCCGCCACCCGCACCCGAGAAGGUGCUUCCACCACCGACGCCCGUGAAGGAGCUUCCGCCACCCACACCAGAGAAGAAGGUUCUUCCACCACCAGCGCCGGUUAAGGUGCUUCCGCCACCCGCACCAGAGAAGGUGCUUCCACCACCGGUGCCCGUGAAGCCUCCACCGGCUCCGUUGAGCUCACCACCACCAGCGCCAGCUAAGGUACUUCCACCACCCGCACCAGAGAAGGUGCUUCCACCACCGGCACCGGUGAAGCCUCCACCAGUUCCAGUGAGCUCACCACCUCCCCCUGUGAAAUCUCCACCACCACCUGCUCCAGUUAGCUCGCCGCCACCUCCGGUCAAGUCUCCUCCUCCACCGGCACCAGUUAGUUCCCCACCACCAGCACCGGUGAAGCCUCCACCCGCACCGGUGAGCUCACCACCUCCUCCGGUGAAAUCGCCACCACCUCCAGCCCCAGUUAGCUCACCGCCGCCUCUAGUCAAGUCUUCUCCACCACCGGCACCGGUCAACUCACCGCCACCAGCACCAGUGUUGUUGCCUCCUCCAGCAAAAUCCACCCCAGCACCGGUGAAAGAAGAGCCACAGUCACCUCCAGCGGAAUCACUUACACCCCCAAAGUUCGACGAGUUCAUCAUGCCGCCGGUCGUGUCGGCAAAAUACGCGUCACCACCACCACCCCAGUUCCAAGGAUAUUAA
rnacentral:rRNA from 1 species